rnacentral:rRNA from 1 species
CCGAUGCAAAUGUAACCGCUCGCCCGAAGUAGUGAAGCAGUAGAACGCUGAAGCAUGCGUGAGCGAGACGAUCAAUAACACAGUCCACGCAUGGAUGUUAAAGAAAAGAUAAAGUGGAGCCUAAUUAAUAACACGGAUACAGGUACCCUAUAAACGAAAUUGAACGAGGUGGGAAUAAAGUAGCAAAUCAAAAAAAAGGAAAAAAAAGAACGUAGAAACAAUCAUGGUGCCACGAGUCCAGAUGAAAUAAUCAUCACACCAAACGGGAAGCACUAGUAGUUGAACCCAGAUGAGUAAGUAGCUUUUUUAUUUUGAACCCGCGUACGCCGCCGUCUCGGGUACGGGAGCAGCUACGUGUGCGGCGAGUUCCGUAUCGAAAAGACGAUCGGUGUGGGAGGGAGUGGUGGUGAAGAUCGGCCCGACGCGUCGCAACUACAUCGUAACCAGGAUGCUUCGAACCUACAGAACUGCUUGAUCGCCGGAUCAGCCCCAUUCUGGUCGCGUGUGAGGGUUGCUGUACCAACAAAAGCCGAACAACUACUAGUGGCGUACAACCCAGUAACAAUCCACUAGGGUCAGCUAAAUCGUUCGAACUGGACGUAGAUAACCGUACGUUUGUGUAUAAAAGGACCAGUCUCCUCGAGACCGAUAUAAUACGUGAUCUCGAUACCGAUAAUGAGUACAACCAUGUUAACUGCGCCGUAUACACAACAAUGAACCAACUUCAACAAACAAGUCUCGAGACGAACAUUCUAAUUAGGGUUCAUACUGUAAAAGCACCUUGACCGUUGUGGGUUCAUACUCAACACUAGGGAAGUACUUCAAAAAAAAAAUCAAAACGCGACAAAAGAUGAGGGAGACAAAGAUUUAUAUUCAGAACAAACUCUAAAGUUACACCUGAUGUAUGCUUACAUAUAUCUGAAUAAAAUCUCACAUCUAAGAGAGUAAAACGAGGUAGACAUCAGGUAUAACCCUAAGAGAGUAAAAUCUGAAUAUAAAAUCUUACAUAUAUCUGAACAAACCCUAGAGGUAUAACUCAACACAUCAUGACACACCAAAACGUUCACCCCUAGAGGUCAAUACCCAGACACAAUCUAGUAUACCACCUAUCGGAAACAUUUCGUACAGAUUUCAUCUAAUAUAACGAGAUAAAGAAAACCUAGACACAAUCUGAUGUAUUACAGCGGCUGGACAGAAGACCACGCCGUGGAGGAAAAAGAGGGGGAGAGGUAAUUCGUACGUACGUUGGUUUUCUAUGAUUUCCGUACAUUCUUACUUAUUAAAUUCUCGGAGAGCUUAUAAUUUUGAUUUAUUCAAGAUAGAGUGUUUUACGAUUAAGUUUAACUCUUAGGCGAAAGUGGAAACUGAAAGAACACCGCUCUAGAUACUUUGGUAUAGGAUGAUCAGUAGUUGGGCACGUAGACGUACCAGAUCGAUUUAAUUAUCGGUGUAAAUGUGUAAGUUAUAGAAAAGAAAGAACAUUUAGAAAUUUGAUCAAUCUUAUACUCUUGACAUACUUAUGUAUAUUCUUUAUAAUGAUCAAGCGUGUACAUUAACAACCGCGAUACUAAUGAUCCUGGUUUUCCAUCGAUAUAAAGCUAUCAAUUUAACAGAUAUUUAGACAACAAUAUUUAAACUUUACAGUAAAAGACGUAAUUGAUGUGUUGAGUAUUAAUAACAAAUCCUGUGUUAGCAUUUAGAAUUCAAAUCUUCAUCUGCAUUAUACGAAUAAAUUAACCUAGUGAGUACUAUCAACCAUUCUGAUAAACACCAAGGCCACCUUUUAAUGACUCUUAUAUGUGGUAGUUAAAGAUCAUAAAUCUUAUGUAUAUCGUAGAAAUGAUGGUACGUAUACCUCAAUAAUAGAUUUUAUUCUGAGAAUUUAUGACACACUCUUACUCAGAUCGAUAGGUUACUAUCUUAUACUCGUUUUAUAAUGGAGGGUAGUUAUAAUUAACAGUCACUAAGAUAUGUUACAACAUGAUUUAGUCGCUGUUAUUUAUACCAAAAGUUCAAGCUUUAUUCAAGACGGGAGGAUAGUGUUUGUAUUAGUGUGCAUUGCCUUUCUGUUCUUUGUUAAGUAGCGAAUCUUCUUACUUCCUCCUUUUCGUGAUGGAUACUUCAUAGUUUGCAAACACUACUGUGUUAGGAGUAGUAUAAACAAGAGCACGAGAAUCAUUCUCUCUAUUUUCCCUCAUGAGAUGUUAUCUUCAGUUUAUCAUCUUGUUGUUUCUAUAUGUAAGUUCAUUAAGGUGUUUUUACCAGUUUUACAAAUUGGACCGUUACGAACGAUUGAGUUCUUGGAUAUUUAUGUAAUAGUUAGUCCAGUUAUAAACCGUUUAAAAGGUUAGCUUGUACAUUUCGUGUUUAUAUAUUUUAACUAUUAGCUUAACUUGGAGGCUAGCUUCAUAGGUUAAUAAAAGAUCAACUGUCAGAAGAUAGGCGUUCUCAAUACCUCUCACGUUAUUAACCGUACAUCUUGUUAAUCUUGUAUACUUUAUAUUCUAUAAAGUGUUACCAUAGUACCGAGUGAAUAUGGAAGUCAAUUUAGAAAAGGUCUAUCUCGUGACUCUAGGAAAAGGAACAAACUAAGUCUUGGUAGUAAAACUAGGCAACCCUAGGUACCGGUUGGGUUAUACUUUUAUAUAUCUUGAUGAUGAUACCGCAAUAUCCUCGUAGGAAACAAAGUAGAUUUAUCUCGUAUUAGAUAACACACGUGACACAACAAUGCAGGGGAAUUAAUAGAGGUAAGUCCAGAAGUAUAUAGAUGUCUUUGUACUGAAUAAUAUAAUCAGUUUGACUCUUGGGUACAAUAUAAAUUUUCGUUUCUACGUAAAAUACACACUCUCAGUAACAAAACACAGAUAAGUUAAUAGGUUAAGUUAUUAUUGUUGUGUAUUUCUUCAAAAAGGUUUGACUUUCCUGUUAUUUCUUAUCUUGAUGUGUACCCCUAAAACUGGCUUUAUGUUUUAUCCUCUUCUAUACUAUUUAUUGUGUUAGAACUUAAAAUAAAUACAUUAGAUCUUAAUGAUUUAUGUUUUAGAAUAAGCGACCCUUUUAAUGUGAGUAUUAACUAAUGGAAGUUUAGAUUACAUAUGUUACUCUUAUUUUUUUGUAUUACAAUUGCGGGUGUGCACACCAUGCUUCGUUGUACCGGGUUUGCGGAAGUAAUAGUAGGUAAAACGGUGUAGUUUUGUCUACUGUAGCCGCCCUUAGAAAAACCAAAAGCCGAAUUUUUACAAAUAGAGGAUUAAUUUUUAGGUUAAUUUUUAAGUAAAAGUGGUAAUUUAGGUAGAGCUGUUCAAGAAGUUUUGAUCUAGGUUACAGCUAUACAAACCUACGUAAAAAAACGAUUUUAAACAGUACUACAAAUGUGUCAUCAACGAUAUCACAAAUGUGAUUUCAACGGUACUGUACAAAAUAGAAAAAAAAAGAUCUAAAUUUCGGUGGUAACAUAAAAGUUGAUGAAAAAUAUCGUUAAAAAAUAAUUAAAUGGUACGGUUAGAAAUCAUUCAUUGGUGCCGUUUGCAUUACGUACCUAGUACCGUUAAAAAUCAUUAGGUAGUACCGUUUAAAUCAAGUAUUUAGUACCGUUAAAUUCAUCAAACUGAUACAGUUAAGGUCAUGAAACCGGUACCUUUAAUAAAAAACAUACUUGGUACCGUUUACAUUCACGUACAUAGUAUCUUUUAAAUACAUUAAGUGGUACCAUAAAAAUCAAAUACCAAGUAUUGUUCAGAUCAAAGAGUGAAGGGGUAAAAUAUUAUACAGUUUUAAAUGUAAAUUUCCAUCUUCUUUUGUAUCGACUUUGUAUAGUACCGUUGAAAUCACAUUUGUGGUACCGUUAAGUACACGUUAUCUGUACUGUUUAAAAUCGGUUUUUGUUUCAGCAGCUUUGUAUAACUAUACUCAAGAUCAAAGCUUCUAGAGCAACGCUACCUGAAUUACCACUUUUACCUAGAAAUUAGCCUAAAAAAAUAAACUCUCUAUUUUGUAAGAUUUUUGAUCUUUAGGUUUUCCUAAAGGCGUACGUACGUACGCCAUUGCACCGUGUUAGACACAAAAUAUUCCGCACACCCGUUCACAACGAGGGUGGUAUGCACACCCGCAAUAGUCGCAGGUUUCUUUUACUCUUGAAGAAUGUAUGUAGUAUUCUAAUAACCAUUAGAGUCGCGUACGUUGAAAUGUAUCACAUGUGUUGUUACUUCGUAGCUUAAUAAGUCAUUAGAUUUCUAUAUUCCUUGUAUUUUCUGUCUGUAUUAUACGAUUCAAGAGCCGCCAAUGUAAAAAUGGGUCCUAGGGUGUAUUGACCCUCGUCCGAACUCUUUACUAUUCAUUUUUCGUAGUUAUUAGUAAAGUCAUUAUUUUUUGGCCAAUGAGAAUGUGUGGAACAUAUCGUAAGGUCAGGUAGUAAAAAUGGAAGCCUGAUGUGAGGGUAUACACUGGUUAACCUCUUUCAUAUACAUUCAAAUCGAUUUACUUUUUUUAAUUCUAUUCCUUCGACUUAAAUACAUGCAGUGUUUCCCGCAUUAUUAACUCAAUGUGACAUUUGACUUUCGAAUGGUGCCGAAAAUCGACCUUGGUAAUUCGACAUAUACUUAUAGUUCCUGCAUCCCGUUUACCUAUCAUAAUUCUGCUGAUACUUGGGUUCUUAAGUUAUAAUUCUACCUGUGUUUGUUAAUUUGUAUGUAUUAUAGUAGAUAUCCGGAAUCGAAUUACGAUCCACUAUGAAAGCCGUUUGAAAGAUAGAUAGUGGCGGAGAGACGUCAAGAACAUGAUAAACGAUGAGGGAGGCAGGGUUUUAUUCACAGAGUUGAAAUAUGAUUGAGAUUAUGUUUCAACGUGAUUCGAACUCUGUGAAUAAAACCCUGUCUCUCUCAUAUUACGAACCGUGCGCCAGUCAUUAGGACACCUACACGUGGGUAGGCGGGAUUAGAAGUCCAGCUUGUGAUAGGAAAUGAGAAGGAACUACACUUGAAGAAGGAGUACUUUUGUGGUUCCUUUGUUAGUGUAUCGGUAUAACGAAUACGUGUUUAAAAGGUUUUCUAUACCUCCGUUAGAACCACGCCAGAUAAAACUCAUAUAAAUGUACAAGACGGGCUUCCCAAAGUUGACGGGUUUCUCCUUAGGCACAUAUACAUCCGCCGCCCUCCUAGACGUAAUCCUGAAGAAACGACUACCCUCCUCCCACUCUCCUUACCACACUCCUCAAGCGGUAUCAAAUACUUGUUUGUUACGAAGGUACAGACGUAGUUUGACAACGUAUAUAUGGAAGUUACGACGUAGACGGUUAGCACCUUGAAUAGGAUGUUUUUCUACGAUGAAAAGAUUGGACCAGCCUUGACUCCUACCCCUUUAAAUCUCUAACCUUUCCUUCCCUAACCCUCUUCCAUCUAAAGCCAACUUUUUAACGUCACGGCUACCUUAAAUCUCCAACUAAUCCAACUUGAUCCCCUAGGAUGUUCCGACCAGUACUACUUGCCAUCAUCCCAAACGUGCUACUACGCUCCACUCUUUCCGGUUGACUUAGACGCUCUGCAAGGAAAAUUCUGUACCUCAACAUCUCUCUAACUCAAUCUAAAUAAAAUGAAGAUAAAAAUAUAGUGACUCUAUCAUCAUAACCGUAAACCUCGUAAAAACCCUACUAAAUCCAACUAGAUGUGGCAUUAUUACACCUUGGUAGUUUACUCGUCCGUAUUAAAGUCUAUACACUCUUAAAGUCCUUCAGAGAUUAAUCAUAUCCAUAUCUAUCUAUAUAUAUCUAUGUGCAGCUGAAUGAAAAUAUUGAAAAACGGAAAGGUCUAAUGACCUUGAAAGAACUGUCCAAUAAACGGUCAAUCAAUUGUAUAGAGUAUAUAUCAUAUAUACAUUUAUCAACUAAGGUUGGUAUAGUUAACAGAUUUGUACGGGUGUACGGCGGAGUGGUGUGUACGGUGUAGUAGUAGAUUGAUUAAUAAAGAGAAUUGUAUAUACCUUUUACAAUAAAUAUAAGAGAGUUGUUCGUGUGUGGGGUUGAGAGGUGUGUACGGUGGAGGAUUUAGUGUGAUUAAUAUAGAGUGUUGUACGUAGGCUUUAUAAUGGGUAUAAGACAUAUAUAUAAGUGUUGAUAUAUUAUUAUUUUUUGUUACAUAGUAUAGAUAGACUUCAAAGUAAAUUUAAAGUAGUUUUUUAUAACGUUGGUUAGAGUCGUCAUACCACGUCCCAUGGUAGAUCAAUAUAAUUGAACCAAUGGUCCAAUGAUUUUCAAUUACAUGUGAUGACGUUCUGAACGAAGUACCAUGAAGAGACCCAGGUUAAAAAACAACAACAAAUGUAAAAUUAUGAGUAAAUCAAUACAGCUGAACAAACCCAGCUGAAUAGUUAAAUUAUAUAAAAAUGUUAUAAAGAACGUAUAUGUUACCACUAGGCAAAACACUAAAAGGGAAGUUUUAGUCAGCCGCGAGUAAAUAGGUGGUAACAUACUAAUAAAAAAGACGAGGCCGUUGGCGUCAAUUUGGUUCUGUUACCGUCUGUAUCGGUCGAGUAGUCCACCUGGAGUUGUUGUCGGUCUCGGUGUUUACCUACUCCUAGAGGACUUUCGUCGGUGUACACCGCUCAACUCGAUAUACCUUCCGAUACGAGGACCGUCUGAAGCACCUUAUUGAGGUCGUCCCUUAUGUACGGAGGUAUAUAGGACGUAAGUACCGGUGUACCUUAAGACGUCAACACAUGACCUUGAUCGAUCUGGGUAGAGAGGAGAGUUUCCAAUUAUUGCUCCCACUCUGUGGUGAACAGUAACGGCACCGUGUGCCAGUACGGUUGAACCAAAUAGAAAAUGAGCGUGCGACGUUUCUUGAUCCUAACUUGUUGUAUUAGAACGUGUUUCUGUAGCUUUUUACAUUACGUGACGUGGUACGGUAGUCGUUACCCGUGUCCCUAGAACGCGAUUGCAACCGUCGUUGUCUAGGACGAGAGCGCGUCCGACACUUGUUUACGCUACUCAGUGGGUACAAGUAGCGUCGCUACUCUUUGAAAUGUCUACAAAAACCUUCUGAUAACCUUUUGAGAACCAGAAGACUACGUCCCUCAAAAGCUGCGGUACGAGAGGUACGACGUCGAUAGUUACCCUUAGUUCUUUAGCGACGUUCUUAAUACACACAUGCAGGAGUGGACCGUUUUCUUCGGCUACACUUACUCCUAUGGGGUUAUUCUGACCGACAGACAAUAUUAUUCCAACCGCACGAUGUUCAUGAAGACUUCGUACUAUAAAGUAAUCCCAUACUUCAUUCGUUGGUUCCAAAUUGAGAGGAACGAUCACGACGUUGAGCUCCGUUACAACUACAACGCGCUCUCGAAGAAUGGAUAACAGGGCUACGAGGAAUAGCGGUGCACGCGGUAUUCCUUAACUGUACGGAAGUAUGUCGACAUACAUUGCCAGUAGGCCUCAAACAACUUAAAUAUGAGUCCUGUGGUGUUGAGGCCUUUGAGUAAUUGUACGCUCUGUCGUCACCUUCUUGUCGAGAUGUGAUACGUUAGCUCUUCACGUUAGGUUUUUGACAACGACGACAUGACCGAGUGCUCCCAUAUCUGUGUUGUUAUGCACUGGAAUUACCAUUUAGUCGUCGAAGGGUUAACCGUACGUUGUGGCUGGUACUGUUCUCAAAUCUGACCUACCUUCACGUGCGUGAAUACAACGUUCGAUUAGGGGUUCUACUACUGUAUACAAGAAUAGAGAAGUACUCCCUUAGCUCGUUUUACUUUGAUAACUUAGCUUCCUACUCUGUGUAUGUUCACGGUGCCGAUUGCACUUCAGUGAUUGAGUUUUUAUGUGUUCGUUGUGUAGUGAUCACCGGUAGGAGGAACGUUGUUAGUGGAAGUGGCGUCGAAAGUGAGACGGUCCUCCUAUGUCGUCAUGACGACCUUCGCUCCCCGAAGGAUAGUACAUGUUUUUAUGACGUAAAGUUCAUAAGGACCAGAGACUGUGCAAUCGUUACACGAGACGUAAACAACACCGUAAAUAUACGGAGUACCCUUCCACCCUCCUACUAUCCAAGUGCCUAAUAAUGUAGUGGCAGUGAUUCUUCGAAUGAACCAAACGUAUGUACCGUUGUGAACGCCGGAAGCGUCGACCAAAUAUGUGCCAUGAUCGGGUAGUAGCGGUCACCGACCGGUAACGCUAAACACGAGACUAUCCCAAAACGGGAACAGAUUGAAACGAGUAUUCAUUUACCGGAUAGAAUUUCGAGUUAAUAGCCUAGGCCUAAGUAGUUCGAAACACACGGACGUAUCAUCUGGGAAAACCGGCCCACGCAGUUACAAAGUCUAGGUUAGCCACCGGACCGUUCAAAUCCCAAGAAGUUGCAAGGUGGGGCCUCAGGCUCGAAGUACGGCACUGUCAGACUGGGACAGUUUACCGAAAUGCCAAGUCGAAACACUACCACAACAAAGAGUUAAAUACAACAUUGCUCGGAACGAACAGAUGAGAAUAACAUAACAUUAAGCAGUCUGUUUUUGAUAACUUUACCACUAAACACAUAGGGUUAGUUUUAGACUACGUCAACACGA